AGAUUGAACGCUGGCGGCAUGCCUAACACAUGCAAGUCGAACGGCAGCACAGCAGUAGCAAUACUGUGGGUGGCGAGUGGCGGACGGGUGAGUAAUGCAUCGGGACCUACCCAGACGUGGGGGAUAACGUAGGGAAACUUACGCUAAUACCGCAUACGUCCUACGGGAGAAAGCGGGGGACCUUCGGGCCUCGCGCGUUUGGACGGACCGAUGUUCGAUUAGCUAGUUGGUAAGGUAAUGGCCUACCAAGGCGACGACGGGUA
rnacentral:rRNA from 1 species